CAUCCCUAAAACACAAGAGAAGAAAAUUAUUCACAGUGACGUCAUGAGGAAGAAACACGGCCAGCCGCUUUCACGUAGACACAUGGGUCUUCGACCAAGGCUGCCCAGGCUCAGGGGUGAAAGCUCGUCAUGCAAGCCUGACAGUGAGAGCCCAAUGCAGAGCCCAUGGUGAGGAGUGGAGCUCAGUCCUCGAAGGCCGCCUCUGUCCUCACAGCACAUACAAUGUAAAGACUUCUCCUCCUUCCACAGCCAUCUCACUGAAAGCAACGAUGGAAGCGGGCCGUGUGGUCAACAUUCCUGCCACUGAAGCACACCAAAGCUAGCUGUUCCAAAAGGAGACUACCCUUCAACAAAAAGGGGCGACAAGCAGUGAAAUAAGAACCGGGGACUUGUGAGCUAUGGCCAAGAAGGGCUUCUAGCCUCACCCUCUUUCUACAGCUCAGCUCUAGUUCCUAACUGGCAUGACUGUGACAUCAUGACAGCGUUAGGAAUGCCAUCCACUGUGAACCAUACACGCUCACCGCCGUAGCUCACCACACCCGUGAAAGGCAGGCUGAACAAUCCUUUCAGCAGGUCCCUAGCUGGAGAACUGCUCUACCAUUCCCUAAAUUCGAACACUAGCUGGUCCUGCAGACAUGCUCACUGGGGUAGGAAAAGGAGAGGAGCCACUGUGGCUCUGAGGCUCCUAGUGUCUAAUCUGAAGCACAAUGGUCUUCAGAGUUGAAAACUAAAGAGAGAAAAAGGAACCAGUUGAUCUGGAUACUGCAAAUUGCUUUUAAAAAAGAUUUAUUGCAUUGUUUGUGACUGUGUGUGUGUGUGCGAGUGUGUGGGUGCCUGUGACUGUGUGUGUGUGUAUGUGUGUGUGAGUAGGUGUGGGUGCCUGUGACUGUGUGUGUGUGUGUGUGUAUGAGUAGGUGUGGGUGCCUGUGACUGUGUGUGUGUGUGUAUGUGUGAGUAGGUGUGGGUGCCUAUGACUGUGUGUGUGUGUGUGUGUGUGUGUGUGUGUGUGUGAGUAGGUGUGGGUGCCUGUGACUGUGUGUAUGUGUGUGUGAGUAGGUGUGGGUGCCUGUGACUGUGUGUGUGUGUGUGUGUGUGUGUGUGUGUAUGAGUAGGUGUGGGUGCCUGUGACUGUGUGUGUGUGUGUGUGUGUGUGUGUGUGUGUGUAGGUGUGGGUGCCUGUGACUGUGUGUGUGUGUGUGUGAGUAGGUGUGGGUGCCUGUGACUGUGUGUGUGUGUGUGUGUGUGUGUGUGUGUGCGCGCACACGCGCGCGCCUAUGGGAGCUGGGGGGGGUCUGACCUCCUGUAGCUGGAGUAGAAGUGGUUGUGAGCUGUCCCAUAUGGAUGCUGGGCAUUGAUCUCAGGGCCUCUACACAAGAGGUACAGACUCUUAACUGCUGAGCCACCUCUCCAGCCUCUGUAAGCUAAUUACCUUUAAUAUGUUUUUAAAAGCACACAAGAGCGAGGCCAUCUGGUUCCAUUAUGCAGACAGCACUGUUUUGGGAAGUGAUGCGUCUGUACUGAGACACUGCACUGUCCUUCUUCUGCAGAGAGGCUGGACAGGUUUUCUCUUCAGAUGUAGUUUUACCUCAUUGGCAAACAACACCCGGUUGUCUGAGCUGAAUGAACACUCAGGGCCUCAGACUUACGGAUAAUGUUCUUCCUGACAAGACAAGCUCCCCACAGAGGGACCCCGGCAGUACCUGCAGGGAUGUCACAAAGAGCGAACAGCCCGACUCGGACAUCUCCAUUCACGGUCCACUUCUGUGUCUCACAGUUUGGAUUACAACUGUGGUUCAUGAAACGAGAAUAAUUUCCCUUUGGUCCAGCAUCAAUUAUACGGUCCUUCAGAAAGAAACAAAGUGGGGGGACUGUGACAUAAACUAAAUACAAACUCGUUUAGAAACAUUCAGUUAGGGAACACAAGUCAGUAUCAUCAUCAGCUGGUGUGUGCCAACUGUCAGCUCUGAAAACACUCCGGACACCCUCUAUGGAGUCACCUCGCUCUCUACUUGAGGGCUUUUAAUGGUCGUCUAACAGGUGAAGAUCAGCAGGUCAUAGGUUUAGGCGUUUUUGACCACAGAGCUACAUGGUUCAGAUAACCCAUCUCAGCCAGGCAUUUUGUCUCGGCUUCUCUCCCACUCAGGAGAGAUGAGAUUACACCAUGACGGAGAAGCCAGAUGAGACUGUCCCUGAGUGGGAGGUGACAGUCCUUCAUCUCUGUACUCUCACAGGGUUACCUACACAGACACUACCACACAAUUAGGCCUGAGGAUGGCUCUAUCAAUGUGGGUAGCUCCACGGCCUGAGCCCACAGGACACUGUCACUGAGCUGAGCUCAGGAAUCCUAGGACUCACAGACAGACUCCAGCAUAACAGUGGCAGCGGAAUUCACCCUGGGAAACACGUGGAAGCUUAAACUCUUCACACACUGACAUAACUACAUAUGUUAUAUCUUCCUUCUUUCUUUUUUGAGAUAGUGUCUCACAAUAUGACUCUGGCUCGUGUGGAACUCGCUCUACAGACCAGGCUGUCCUUGAACUCGGAGAUCUGCCUGCCUUUGCCUCUGCCUCAAACGUGCCAGAAUUAAAGGUGUGCGCCACCAUGUCCACGAUCUCUUUUACGAUCUCUUUUACUGCUUUUCGUUGGCUUUCUGCCAUGUUUUUGCCUGUGAUGAGGCUCAAACCCACAGCCUCGCAUAUAUCCAGCACAUGCUUUAGCACUGAGCCACGACCCCAGCCCGGAAGGUAUUCUGACUCUUUUAGAAACAUCAUGGAACACAGGGAACACGGGUACUAGUCUUGGUCGUUAAAGUGUGAUAGUAUACUAAACAACGACUGAAUUGUGCCUAGGCCUGGGCUUCCUGUCCUCUGUAAGGACAACUGUAAGAAGUGAGGUCCUAGCUGUGAGAAGACAGGCAAGUACAGAUCAAUCUAACGGUCACAUACAGUCUUCAAGGUUGUUUCCUUUUCUGAGUCUGUUUCUCUUUUAUUUAGACAGGAUCAUAAUUAUGUAGCCCAGGCUGGCCUCUAACUAAAGCUGAUGACCCUCCUGCCUUAACCUCCCAAACGCUGGGAUGUGCCACAAUGCCUGGCUAAAAUUGUAUUUAAACUUCCAUUGUUCUUAUGCCAACAUUCAUUGUUUUCCUGUCGCUUGUUCUACGUGUAUAGUGUUGCCUGCAUGUAUGUGUGUGAAUCACAGAGUCCCUGGUGCCCUUAGAGAUAAGAUAUCAGAUCCCCUGGGAAUGAAGUUCCAGAUUGUGUGCCAGCAUGUGGGAGUUUAGAACUGAACCCCAGUUUUCUGCAAGAGCAACGAAUGUUCCCAACCAUGGAGUUAUUUCUCUGACCCUCCUGUUAUUUUUUUUAAAACUUAAUAAACAGAGAAAAGUUUUGAGGUUUUGGCUAAUCAGAAGUUUCAAGAUUAUUUUAUAACUCAGAAUCAUACUUGAUUUUUCCAGCAGUGAUAAAGAACCCAGGGCUCUUGCUGCCUCAGAUCUAGGACUAGGACCCAGCAACUGAGUCCAGACGUGGUCACUUUGUUUCUGCUUAGCAUUUCCCUGUAGUUGGAGUCUUGCACUCCGGAGAUAAUUACAGCACUGACUACUGACCAUCGUCAUAGUCUACUUAGAGAAAGUGAAAUGAACAGAAACCUAGGUCAACAGAAAAUUAUGAACAAAACAUAAAACGUCCUUUUGUCUUACCAAAAAAUAAAAGCAAUUUUACCUUGGUAACAGUUAACAUAUAAAAAUUAGUUACACUGUUCUCGUGGGCUCGCUUGAUUCGAAGUCUGCACUCUUCCUCGUCGAUUAGUUCACCGACAUAUUCGUUUACAAAUUCCCCCUGCAAAGCAACAUUCAACACAGAACUGUAAUAUCAGCUCUACUGUAACGCACAUCCUAAUACCACAAGUAUGAACAAGAACAUCAACUAAAAACAUUUCUGAGGGCCAGGACUGUAAUUCAAUUAGCAGAAUUCUUGCCUAGCUUGUGCAAAGCCAUGGGUUCAAUCCCUAACAGCAUAUAAACUGGGCAUGGGGGUGCACGCCUAUAACCCCAGCCCUGGGAAAGCGUGGGCAGGUGCAUCAUCAGUUCAGUCCCCCUCUGUGGAUUUCAGGGCCAGCCUAGACACAUAAAAUCUUAAAGCCCAGGACUGGGGGACAGUAAUGGCUUGGUGUGUGACCUGAGUGUGAUGCUGUGAACCACAUGAGGGAAAUGAGCAAUGUCCUAACUUUCACCGGGCACCACAGCGUGCAUGUGUGGGUCUGCCUAUGCCUAUGCUCAGACAGAGCUGUGAGAUGACUCAGUCGGUCAAACACUCGCCUCACAAAUGUGAUGACCUAAGCUCAGGUCCCCAGAAACUAAGUAAGAGGCCAAGCCUGGUAGCACAUGCCGUGUUGUUGGGAAAUCUAGAGACAGUGAAGCUCACUGGCCAGCAUGGAGAAGGUCCAGGCCGUGAGAAACCCUGUUUGUCCUUGUUUGGCCUGUUGUCAACUACCCAGGAGCUUGAACCGUCUGGGAGGAGGAACCUCGACUGAGAAAACAUCUGGUUAGUGACUGGUGUGGAAGACCCAGCUCACUGUGAGCGCUCUUCCGGCAGUGGUCCUGAUGGUCUAGGAAGCAGGCUGGCCAGGCAUGGCGGCACACACCUUUAUUUCCAGCACUCGGGUGGGAGAGUCUGCGUACUGAAUCGCAAGACAACCAGAGCUUUAAAACAAACAAAGCAAGCGACUGAGCCUUGGGUUCUGCUUCACUUCAGGCCUUGAGUUCUUGCCCUGAACUCCUUUCAUGGUGGACUACAACUGUAAGGUAAAGUGAAACUUUUCCUCUCCAGUUUGCUAACGAAGACACAUUAGUCAUGAAAGCACCUUAGAAACAGCACCCGGACUGUCACCUGACAUCUACAGGUGUGACACACAUGCCCUCACGCCUACAAAAAACAAAGAGAAAAAGAUCCUGACCCCCUCAACCCUAGGAACUGCGGGUUACUACUGAUUCACUGGUACUUGGGUGGCGGGAACAGCGCUGUGUAAGUACUUCAAAGGCGGUGAUGCACUUGCCUUCUCUCUGAUAUUAUCUCCACAUUCCCAAGUGGCACCUGUGGCAUGUCACUACACUUGGAGUAAAGCUAACCUGACUCGUCAUCACUAUAGUCACAAACUUCUACUUGUUUGUAACCGAGGGACUGGUGGCAUUUAGGGAUGAGAAAUGGGAACGGUGUGGAUCUGAACAGACAGGGUACGUCUGCUCUCUAAACGAUUAUAUUUACAGCUAAAGAACAUGCAGUGGUUCUGCUGUUCUCUCGGGGUUCUCCAGUGAUAACAUCUCACAGAUCUACAAUAGUACUAAUACUAGGAAGCUGGUGUUGGCACCCACCCACUCAGACACGGAGUCCUGCUGCCACAAAACCAUGCUCCAGAUGUAUGAACAGCACGGGAUAUCUCCAAUUUUUCUUUGACGGCCACACCCACCCUCCAUCAGUAUAAUUAUGCCAUUCAAGGAUGUUCUAUAAACAGAUUUAUCUAAUAUGUAAUCUUUUGACACUGUUUUUUUUAAAGAUUUGCUUUUUAAAAAUUAUUUAAGUGUAUGGAUAUUUUGCCUGCAUGUAUAUAUCUGUGCACCACUUGCAUGCCUGGUGUCCUCUGAGGCCAGAGAGGGCACUGGGUCCCUUGGAACUACAGUUACAGAUGGCUGUGAGCUGUCAUGUGGUUGCUGGGAAUCGAGCAUGGUUCUCUAGAAGAUCAGUCCGUGGUCUUGGCUGCUAAGCCAUCUCUCCAGCUCCUAAAGACGUGAUUUACUGCAGGAUGGCUUCUGACCUCUGCAGGCACCAAGCAGGCACACAGAGCAAAUACAUACGUAUAGAAAACACUAACGCAUAAAAUAAUUAAGGAUUUUUUUACUUUACGUGUAUGAAUGUUUUGCCUGAGUGUGUGUGCACACAAGCAUGCACAUACAGUGUCCAGAGAGGCUGGAAGAGGGGUUCAGAUGCCCAAGAACUGGAGUUCAGAUAGUUCUGUGUAGAUGCUGGGACUCAAACCUGGAUCCUCUGUGAGAGUAGCAAGUGCCCCUAAUGACUCAGCUGUCUCUACAGCUAUGAGGCUAGCAACAAAUAAAAUGAAGCUUAAAAAAAAAAGCAGCUAAUUCUCGGUCACCCACGUGUGCUUCAGUGCUUUAAGGCUCAGUAGACCCCGCAGUGUGGCUGUGCCACCAUUUGUUUGACUCUUCACCCCCUGCAGAAGACUGGUCAGUCUUUCUAGAUUUUUGCUAUGAUACCUAUAGCUGUUGUACACAUUUGGGAAGAGUUUCCAUUUGAUUAUAGCUUUUCAUUUUCCUGGUUUAAAUAGGCAGUGGGAAGAUCUGUUGUACAGUGCAGUAUGUGUGUGUGUAAAGAAUCUGGCAACCUACAGUGGCUGCUCCAUUUAAGCUCCCACCACCGAUACGGAAGAGUCCAGGACUCCUGUAUCCUUGAAAGACUUUGGCAUUGUCCUGGCUGCUCUAAGUGAUGCUAGUCAGCUCCUUGGGGUUAUGUUGUCCCUGACCUCGUCACCUUGGAAGUCACACUCACUCAGCCUCGGGCAGCUGUAUUAGCUAAAACUCGACAGCAUUUCAAACUCAGAGGAACAAGUAUUUUAAUGGAUAUUCACUUCAUAUACAAAUUCUCCUCAGUUCUCAUUGUAGGACUGCUGCGAGUAAAUAUCAGUAAUGUCCGUGUCGCUCUCCUGCACUGAAGACCUAUGGCCUUGUGUCCGUGUCGCUCUCCUGCACUGAAGACCUAUGGCCUUGUGUCCGUGUCGCUCUCCUGCACUGAAGACCUAUGGCCUUGUGCUGGAAUAGGCCCCGACCUAGCACUUUUCCCUUUCUCAUAAACCCUCCUUUCUCCAGGCAAAGUUGUUCUCUUAAACUCCAAGUGUGCCAGGUCCUCAAGGCUGCCCCAUAUCCUGUUUCUGAUUCAUGCCAUUCAUUGUGUGAUCCCCUCUUCUAAGAACGUGGCAACAGUGAUGUCGUGCAUGGGCUAACAAGGCCUUGCUGUCUAAGAUCUCAAGGUCUGCCAUGCUAAGUGGAGUCUCUCUUAUGCCUACGCUGGGAACCUCAGGUAGUGAGGAACUGGGGAAGCCACUGAAAGUUAAGACUCAUUAUUGACCAGGAACAGAAGAAAAAACAUCUCAAAGCACAACGAACUCAGACCACAGCAACAAAGAAUGGAGCUCUCCAGCCGCCAGGUAAGCCAAGGAGGCAAGCCUGGCUGACUCGCAACCCUGAAUGAGGAAGCAGCUGAGCAUGAGCACAGCCCGACCCAUGGCCCCUGCCAACUAUGAUGAUGCAACCUGUGUCACAGUUCUACUGUUCACUCCUGUAUGUGCUUGAUGUCCUGACACCGUGCAUGUGCACGUCUAGUGCCCAUGGAGGCCUGAAGAGGGUGUUAGAUCCCCUGGGACUGAAGUUACAGAUGGUUGUGAGCCACCGUGUGGAUGCUCAGUGCUGCAAUUGAACCUGGGUCCUGUGUAAAAGCAGCGGUGCUCAUACCACCGAGCCACCUCUCCAGCCCCUUAAGUGCUACGUGUUCUGCUUUUGAGACAGGGUCUUUCUUUUAAGGUCAGGCCGGAAUUCCCAAGUUUAUAUAGACCAGGCCAGCAUCAAGUUCUUGAUGGUCCUCCUGCUCCAGCCUCUCGAGUAAUAGAAACGAGUGUGAGUACCACAGUCAGGUUUAAGUCCCUGGCUUUGUGGUCAGAGAACCAGCGUGCGAUGUCAGGAAGUCACCCUCCUAAAGUCAUCCAGUAGUUCUUGCCUCAAGGACUGCUUUAGACCUGCUCUUGGCUCGCUGUCUCAGUGCAUGCCCUGUUACCACUGUCUCCAUCACUAGUGUCCAGACUCAGUUUGCUUCUGUAGCUUGGGUCCUCUGUGAGAGCAGGAAGCACGCUUUAUACCAACUCAUCUCCUGGCCUCCCCACUUUUUAGAUUCAUUGCUUAUUUUCUGUAUAUGAGUGCUUUGCCCGCAUGUGUGUAUAUAUGUGCACCACAUGUGCCUGUUGGUGCCCAGGUCAGAAGGGGGCAUUGGAUGCCGUAGAACUGGGAGGUGCUUUGCAAGAGCCACGAGUGCUUUAUGUCUCCAGCCCCUGGUUCCCUGGUCGGUCCCUCCCUCCCUUCCUUCCUUCCUUCCUUCGAAACAGGGUCUCCCUAUCUAGCCUUUGUUGUCCUAGAACUCACUAUGUAGAUCAGGCUAGCCUUGAACUCAGAGAUCUGCCUGCCUCUGCCUCCUGAGUGCUAGGGUUAAAGGCACACACCGCCCUCCCCACAGUUGGUUUCUUGACAAGAGCCACAGGAGAUUCUCAGGUACUCUAAAAGCUAAGACCCAUCUUUGAAUAGUAGGGUUUACUAGAGACUUUCCUUUUAAGCAUUUUGGCUUUAAAAUAGUCUCCAACUGGUAUCUCUUCCCUGUGCUAGAGAUUCUUGUGAAAAACUGUCUCGAGGUGUGAAAAUAAAAAUACGUCCCAGAGUUCUAUUAUCCCAGCUGCUUCACCACUCUAAUUGUAAUCUGAGGCCUUUAACGAGCUCUGACUUCUUAACUAAUGCGAUGGACUAGUGGUCUAGUCUACCUUAGUGAUCUGGGACUCGGUCACACUUAUGGCUAAUGACUUGAGCCUGCAGCACAGUUCUGUGUUCGCAAGUUUCUGCCCUAGUGGGUAAUCAACUUUACUACGUUGCUUCUCUGACAUGUUUAUCCACCAUGAAAAGCAGCAACAAGAAAAUAUGUUUGAAUCAUGUCAUUCAAUAAUUUAAAAAAAACCACAAAUACAAAAAAGCACGAUGCCCCUUCUGUUUAAAGCUCAUCAAUUAAUAGCCAUGGGCUAUGUAUCCUGUUUGCCUUUCCCAACUCUUGUUGCUCAACAAAUGCCAAACCUUGAGAUAAGUCGCAGCUUUCUGUCGUAAGCGCUGUGCGUCUUAUAGCCAUGUCACAAUGCUAUGGAAGCGCCCGAAGAGACAAGGGUGGCAUUACCUUUUUAAUACUUCUUUUGGUUCUGAGGCCCCAUCCUCUCCGCUCAGUUUUGAUGAUCUCUGCAUCGGGGUACAGCCUCUUUGUAAAGCACUGGUUCUGACAGCGGUCCCCAGCAGGGCACACCUGCGGGUGACACUCGUACUGUGACAUUCUGUUUAGACACUCCGACUCCAGGCCACAUGGGUUUUCAUCACCAGGCUUGCAGUUACAGCGCGGGAUCUCCGACAGGUCAGCCACCUGGAUCUGCACCUUCCCUAUGACUUUGUUGGCCUGGGACAACCGAGGAAGAGAAGCGGGAGAGAAGGUAUGGAUCUGUGAGCACCAAGAACUAAACAUCUGAGUGCUGUGAUGUGACUGAGGAAAGUUCUUUAUCUGAUGUCUCCAGAAUAAACUAGGAGUAUUAACUGUCUAUUCUGGACAGAAAGCCUGGAGCUGAUGUCAAGUCUCAGUUUUUCCCCACUUGCCACAGGUUGAUGAAAUUUAGUACCUGAAAUCCAGAGACAAUAAGCUAUUUAUGAAGUCUGAGGAAGAGAGAGGCUAAGGUGCUACGUCCUCAUUUGAUUGCAGGGUGGUCUGGUAGAAACAACAUAAAGAGGCUUUGACCGGCAGGAAGGGGAGCGCUCACCUUGAUGUGUUUGUAGGGAGGGGGUUUUCUUGAGGUUUUCUCUAUCUCCAAAGCCUCCUUACUCUCUCGCUGCGCUUUCAACUCCUGGAAACGUUUUGCAGCUUCUUCCAGUGCUGACAAAAGCAAGCAGGCCAUUAUCAAAGUGUGAGGACACAGGGCUAGGGCAGGAGGCUGACUCUACCACCCUAGAAAGAAAUGUUCUGCCUCUCGCCUGAGCUUUACUCUUUAAAAUUAUGUUUUAGAGAUCACCAGUCACCACCAUUAUAGAGGAAAUAAUAAAUUAGCACAUGACCAACCAAAUACUAUGCUUUGUAUAUGUGUCAGAGCACAAGUCCGACAUCAAUGACAAAGACCUCUGAGCGACCCUAUUAAGAGCACUUGUGUAUCCUGUCCUAGCUUUAAAUUAAUUUUACCUUUACUCAGAAGUGUAGACUUCAGCCGAAUUUCCUGGGAAGCCCUCACUGCUUGUUUGUGGUAAUGGCGUUUGGCCUGAUUAGAGACACUUCAAACCCAGCUCAGGGACCCAGGCUUUAUGCAUCUUGACCCUGGUCCUGAUGUCACAGGACGUUUAUGGACGGAAAAUCCCAGUGCCUGGUGGACAUUCUUGAGUGGCAGAGGCUUUGUGUGCACACAGAAGUGCACAUCUGAGUGUUGAUUCUGAGUCCCUGUAACCAUGGUCCGACUUACCUUUUUUGAAGGUCUUGUUAAUGCUAGUCUGUCCCUCAGCAAAGUUUGUGUCUCCUUCAACAUAGGGAAACACUCUGCCUUGGUGGACCCAGUAGUAGUCAUGAGAGCCAAAGAAGAGCACAGGGAAGUCGCCCACGCCGUGCUUAAGGCCCUGGAUGUUCAGCGGCACAGACCUGGGACUGCAGGUCUCUGCAGGCCACCAUCUGAGGACAAAACCGAGAAGAGAAAAUGUCUGACUGCCUGAGCUGGGGUCACAGGAGGCUGCGUGCACCGGACGUGGGUUCCAGGGACAGAAACAGAUCUCCAGGGCAGCAAGUGCCCGUCACCAUCUCUGCAGCUCCUGUUCUCAUGCCUUUAAGAACCAAGGCGUGGGCUGGGGAGGUGGCUCAACGGUAAAGCUAUUGAGACUGACCUCCUGAGUUCUCUUGGGUAGGAGAGACCCAGUUCCUGAAAGCUAUUCUCUGACCCUAAAAUUAUACUAUGGCCCUUGCGUGCCCCACAUAAUAAACAGACAGACACGAACAAA